rnacentral:rRNA from 1 species
GGCCGCGGGAAUUCGAUUAGGCGACGAUCAGUAGCUGGUCUGAGAGGAUGAUCAGCCACAUUGGGACUGAGACACGGCCCAAACUCCUACGGGAGGCAGCAGUGGGGAAUAUUGGACAAUGGGCGCAAGCCUGAUCCAGCCAUGCCGCGUGAGUGAUGAAGGCCCUAGGGUUGUAAAGCUCUUUUGUGCGGGAAGAUAAUGACGGUACCGCAAGAAUAAGCCCCGGCUAACUUCGUG